UCUCAUGUUUGCUUUUGUUCAUGGCUAACAAUGCCAUUAUUCUUUAACAAAAAAGUCUUAGAGAUUUCAAGAAGAAUAUCUAAAAAUUCCAUAGAAAUUUCAUGGAGAAUUUUACAAUGGAGGUGGAUAUCAUAUGAAUCCUCAUGAUCUCAUGAUUCCAAAUUGAACAUUAUUUUGGAAUUCCAAAAUAUGAGUGACAUUAUAUUGUUGUUUGAAGUUUAGAAUUUAGAAAAGAAAAGUUCCAAAAAGCUUGAAGAUUUUAAUUUAUCCUUACCAUUGACCAAGUUAAGGGACAUAAUUUAUCCAUGUCGCAUCAUAUUAUUUGUCGAAAUCAUCAAGUAUCUUUGAGAUUCAAUGAUCAAAAUCAAAAGCCAAGAUUGAAAGAUUGCUAUCCAAGGGUGUAGAUUUUAAGAACAAUUUCAAGCACAUGUGGGAAUUAGAAAUUAUUGAGUACUUAGCAAAAAUAAAUUUGCACCACGCAUGGGUUCCCAUUAACCUUUACCAUAGCUUCCUUUCCAAAAUUCCUAAAUUGGUCCUUUGGUCCCUAUAACGGCCGAAAUUUUACCCUUUAAGCUAUUAUUGCAAGUCUCUAUUUAACAUAACAUAUAUUUUUAUUAUUGGUGACCUUGGAGUUUGAGAAAACCUAAAUGACCUAACAGAGUGAGUAAACCUUGUAUGGGCAAUGAGAAUGAAAACUUUAUAAAAGCUUGCAUGUUUUGGAUGGGGAAUACCCCCACAUACCGCUUACCAUAUAUGGCACAUACACAUGCAUUAAAGAGGGAGAGAACUUUAAGUGAAUUUCCCAAGAUUUGAAGAAGUAACUGAUGUUGGUGAAGUGACACUCCCUUUGCUUGGAGAAGAUCUCUUAUGUUCUUUGGCUCUUGAAGGCAUGCUUUUUGUGAUUUAAGACAUUGGAAGACUCGGUACCACUGAAGCUUCAUACUUGUGGCCAUAAAUUUGGUUUUUUAAUUAUUUUUCUUUUGUUUUCUUGAAUCAAACUUGUUUUUGAAUUAUUGAUGAUGUUUACUUCAACUAUAAUGAACUAAGUUUAGAGUCAAGGUUAUGAAUUUAGUGCUAGUUAUGAAGAUUUAUUAUUUUGAUAUUUUUAAAUAUUGGUAUUCUUUAAAUAAUUCAACAAGCUAGCUAGUUUUUAAUGCUUCAUGAUCAACCUUUUUCAUGCAUGAAUUAAACUUUAUAUUUGUAGGAAAAUGUAGAUUAUUUUGUUGUUUAAUGGAUAGUUUGCAUGCUUGCAGCACCCUUGCUAGUAAAUGUGCCAUGUUAACUUAAUUAUCUUAUUGCAGGACUUUAGGUCUUAAUUUGGGUUUUUGUUUUUAGUAUGAAAAUCUACUAAUCUCCUAGUUUCUUUAUAUUCAGUUAUUUGAAAAAUCAAAUUUUAAUAUUAUUAUGAUUAAACUUCGUUGAAAUGGUCAAAUAUUUACAUCAUGUUAUUCUUGCAAAAUUUUUUGUAAACUGGAUUUACUAUUGGUAACAUCCAGAGUUCCUAGUUCGUUAUCAUAGUUCUUAAUUCACUUGAAAUUGGAUUUCCUAAAGCCUGAAAUUUAAUUCUAUUGCUUUCUUUAAUUUAAUUUUUGUUUUACUGGUUUGCUAAAAAAUCAAUUUUGGUGUUCAUUUUAAUAUUAUAAUUUAAUUAGAGUUAAUAAUGGUUUGCUAAAAAAUCAAUUUUGGUGUUCAUUUUAAUAUUAUAAUUAAUUAGAGUUAAUAAUAAAUUAUUUUCUUGGGUUUGACACUCCGGUUUUCUCAAAACAACUUUUUUACUUGAUUUAUCAUUUUCAAGUAUUUUCAUAGUAUCAAUUAUUUUCCUUUCCAUUAAAAAAUAACCUUUGAUGGAAAAUUUGGCUUUUAUGGAAAAUAAAGAAUGUUUGGCAAAGCCUCUGAAAUAGAAAUUAUGAAAAAUAAAGGAUAUUGACAUAGCUUCUAAAAUAGACAUGUAACUUGACAUUGUCGAGAUGGCAUCAUUUUGACAUUUAAAAUAAACAUUACAUUGAAGGGCUUUUUCUUUCAAAAACUGUCUAUUUUGCUUAUGUGUCAAUGCACAUUCUCAUAAUUUACAUCUCUAUUGAAAAUGUUCUAAGUAGGUAAGUACUCCAGAAGUACUAGACCUUUUUCUUCAACCAGAUUCGCCAACAUAAGAUAACAUGACAUGAAUGCGCGUGCCAUGCUUAUGCACAUACAUGAAAAUCAAAUAGAAUAUUCAUAUAUUUUAUUUUAUUAUUUCUGACGUACAUAAAUAUAUAUGCUAAAGAAUUUAGCAAUCUUAAUUUAAAUCGUUCUCACUAAUGAUAUUUCAGGGUAGUCCUCAGUAUUUAGAUGCUUGCAGACAUUUGUAUUGUAAACAUACAAAUACACACACAAACAAGCAAAAGUUAUAUAUAUAUAUAUAUAUAUAUAUGUAUAUAGGUUGAACUCUAUAAGUUCAUUGCCUAUUUAACUGUUUAUAGCUUACAGCCUUUUUAUACGUGCCUCAUAAAUCAACAAACCUCCCUUCCAUCUUGCAC